CUUGGAUACAUGUCUUGGUCAGCAGUUGUUGUCUUAUGAUGAUGGAAUAUUUUGCAAUGCUCCAGGAGAGAGAAAUCAUUGAGAUCAUGUAAUCAACUUAUUUUAUUUUUCCCCCGUUGGGUGAUCAAGCCUUUCCUCUGGUUGGUCCAAAACUUUGGAACGUUUUUGGAACCUUUGGUCUCCAUUUUCACGUGAGCCGAGCAAGGAGGCAGAGUGACGUCCUCAGAGGAAUAGGAAGGUGAAGCGAUGUCCUCAGUUGAGCAGGAAGGCACAGCGACGUCCUCAGCGGAGUAGGGAGGCAGAGUAACAUCCUCAGUGGAGUAGGAAGGAGGAGCAACGUCCAAUAUGGAGCCGGGUGUAGUGAUGUAGACCAAG
ensembl:lncRNA